rnacentral:rRNA from 1 species
UACGGAGGGUGCGAGCGUUGUCCGGAAUCAUUGGGCGUAAAGGGCGCGUAGGUGGCCCCUCAAGCGUGCGGUGAAAGUCAGGGGCUCAACCCCUGAUCGGCCGUGCGAACUGGGGGGCUGGAGCACUGUAGAGGCAGGCGGAAUUCCGGGUGUAGCGGUGAAAUGCGCAGAUAUCAGGAGGAACACCAAUGGCGAAGGCAGCUCGCUGGGACGGUACUGACGCUGAGACGCGAAAGCGUGGGGAGCAAACAGG